rnacentral:rRNA from 1 species
AGCGAACGCUAGCGGCGGGCUUAACACAUGCAAGUCGAGCGCUUCACUUCGGUGAAGAGCGGCGGACGGGUGAGUAACACGUAGGUUACCUGCCCCUGGGUGAGGGACAACCGAGGGAAACCUCGGCUAAUACCACAUAUGGUCUACGGAUCAAAGGCUUCGGCCGCCCGGGGAGUGGGCCGUGCGUCCCAUUAUUUAAUCCUAGUUGGCGGGGUAACGGCCCACCAAGGGUACGAUGGGUAGCUGGUCUGAGAGGAUGAUCAGCCACACUGGAACUGAGACACGGUCCAGACUCCUACGGGAGGGCAGCAGUGGGGAAGU